GUAGCCCCUGCAACAAGAGAAGCUACUGUAAUGAGAAGCCUGCACAGAGAGAGUAGCGUCCACUCACCACGACUAGAGAAAAGCCUGCAUGCAGCAGGGAAGACCCAGCACAGCUUAAAAUAGUUACUUUUUGUGCUUUCCUCCAGGGAACCAUGAAAGGCAUCCUCAGACCCACCGCACUUGAACAAUGCAGAGCCCCUGCUAGGGUUGCCUUGGCCGCACCUGGCUGGUAUGGAGUCUUCAGCUGUUCCAAGUCAUGCUCAAGGACUGAACGAUUCAUCUCCAGGCACAGCUGUACACGAUUCGGAGCACAGGGAUGCCAAGGCACACAGGUGUGGGACAUUAGCCCAAGCUCUGUGACCAGCCUCAUAUUCCUGUUUUGGAUCAACCACCCAGAUGCCAGUGCACUAGUGUAACAGGGGAGGGGUGUCCUAACAAGGAGAGGAAGUCCAGUGUCUUUGGCCCAGUGGACCCCCAUCUUGGGACCUGCCCACAGUUGAGGUAAACUUGCCUUUUCUAGGAGAUCUUUGUCCUUGAAACCCUGUACUCAGUGAUGAAUGUUGUCAUUAAAAGUCCACAGCCGAGCAGAAGCCCUCCUGGAUUCUGAGUUAUUGAGUCUUUCUGCCUCUGUGAGAUGCUUCCUGGUUAGGUGGCUCUAGGUGACCUUGUGAAC
rnacentral:lncRNA from 1 species